GCCCCUGUGGCCUAAUGGAUAAGGCAUCGGCCUCCUAAGCCGGGGAUAGUAGGUUCGAGUCCCACCAGGGGUA
rnacentral:tRNA from 1 species